GCGGGUAUGGCGGAAUUGGCAGACGCGCCAGACUUAGGAUCUGGUGGGCUAUCCUGUGCAGGUUCGACCCCUGUUACCCGUACCA
rnacentral:tRNA from 1 species